rnacentral:rRNA from 1 species
UACGUAGGCGGUCUAAUAAGUCAGUGGUGAAAUCCUGCGGCUCAACCGUAGAACUGCCAUUGAUACUGUUAGACUUGAAUAUAGUUGAGGUAGGCGGAAUGUGUUGUGUAGCGGUGAAAUGCUUAGAUAUAACACAGAACACCGAUUGCGAAGGCAGCUUACUAGACUAUUACUGACGCUGAGGUACGAAAGCGUGGGGAGCGAACAGGAUUAGAUACCCUGGUAGUCCC